rnacentral:lncRNA from 10 species
AUUUUGCUCCCCUGAGAGAAGGGCCUGAAGUUAGAGCCCACAGGAAGAGGCAGAGCUGAGAGGGAAAAAAACACCAAGUCUUGUGACACUGAGCAGUGGAAUCUGCCUGUCCUCCUCUGGACAUUUCAGUAGUUUAGUCAUUCAGUUCCCUUUCUUGCUUCAUCUGGUGUUGAGUUUUUCUGUCACUUAUUGCAAAGAGUCCUAAUUGAUGUGAACAGAAGGGAGAGGUUUCCUUUUUUUCUCUCUCUCUGAUCCAAAAUGACUGCUGCAUCAGUAAACACUUGGGAGUGAAGCAGGCGCUGUAGACCAUCGCCCGGGAAUGCCUACGUCUCACCAGCACCACGUGCCUUACAUAUCACGCACAUCCAGGAUGCCCAUACACCCUCAGCAUGGUGGGGAACACGGGAGGCAGCAGGGUAGAGGAAAACAGGGGGCCCUAAACAGGGCUAAGUUCCAGCUUACCACUCAUAAAAAUAGUGGUACUUUUGGCCAGCUGGGUUGUUAUGAAAAGUAGAAAUAAUAAAUGUGAACAACCUAUCGUGAUGCCAGCAGCAGAGGAUAGCCCCGUGCACAUGUAGAAUCUCACGAAUGUGAUUCAAGUCAGGCAUCUUAAAACCCUUUUCAAUGAUACUUUCUUAUAAGGGAGCAGGCAACGUGUUUCACUAGGGAAUAAAAAAGAAGGGCCCUUGAUACCUCUG